rnacentral:rRNA from 17 species
UUGAAGGUGCGGUAACACGCACUGGAGGACCGAACCAUUUAAUGUUGAAAAAUUAUUGGAUGAGUUGUGUUUAGGGGUGAAAGGCCAAUCAAGCCGGGAAAUAGCUGGUUCUCCGCGAAAACUAUUGAGGUAGUGCCUCGGACGUUUUCCUAUGGGGGUAGAGCACUGGAUGGGCUAGGGGGUCCCAACGACUUACCAAACCUAACCAAACUCCGAAUACCGUGGAGUACAGCGAGGCAGACACACUGCGGGUGCUAAGGUCCGUAGUGGAGAGGGAAACAGCCCUGACCGCCAGCUAAGGUCCCUAAGUUAUCACUAAGUGGGAAACGAUGUGGGAGUGCUUAGACAACCAGGAGGUUGGCUUAGAAGCAGCCAUCCUUUAAAGAUAGCGUAACAGCUCACUGGUCUAAAUAAGGGUUCCUGCGGCGAAGAUGUAACGGGGCUCAAGAUAUGCACCGAAGCUUAGGGUUCAGAAUUUAUUCUGAGCGGUAGCGGAGCGUUCCGUAAGCGGAUGAAGCCGAAGGGUAACCGACGGUGGACGUAUCGGAAGUGCGAAUGCUGACAUGAGUAACGACAAUGGGGGUGAAAAACCCCCACGCCGGAAGACCAAGGGUUCCUGCGCAACGCUAAUC